rnacentral:rRNA from 1 species
GAUCCUGGCUCAGGACGAGCGCUGGCGGCGUGCUUAACACAUGCAAGUCGAACGAGAAUCUGCUGAAGGAGGAUUCGUCCAACGGAAGCAGAGGAAAGUGGCGGACGGGUGAGUAACGCGUGAGGAACCUGCCUUGAAGAGGGGGACAACAGUUGGAAACGACUGCUAAUACCGCAUGACGCAUAGAGGUCGCAUGAUCUUUAUGCCAAAGAUUUAUCGCUUCAAGAUGG